rnacentral:rRNA from 1 species
GGGAACUUUGGCACUGAUUUGAGAGCUUGCUCAGAUAUGACGAUGGACAUUGCAAAGAGUGGCGAACGGGUGAGUAACACGUGGGAAACCUACCUCUUAGCAGGGGAUAACACUUGGAAACAAGUGCUAAUACCGUAUAACACUAAUAACCGCAUGGUUAUUAGUUAAAAGAUGGUCUUGCUAUCACUAAGAGAUGGUCCCGCGGUGUAUUAGCUAGUUGGUAAGGUAAUGGCUUACCAAGGCAAUGAUACAUAGCCGAGUUGAGAGACUGAUCGGCCACAAUGGGACUGAGACACGGCCCAUACUCCUACGGGAGGCAGCAGUAGGGAAUCUUCCACAAUGGACGAAAGUCUGAUGGAGCAACGCCGCGUGUGUGAUGAAGGGUUUCGGCUCGUAAAACACUGUUGUAAGAGAAGAAUGACAUUGAGAGUAACUGUUCAGUGUGUGACGGUAUCUUACCAGAAAGGAACGGCUAAAUACGUGCCAGCAGCCGCGGUAAUACGUAUGUUCCAAGCGUUAUCCGGAUUUAUUGGGCGUAAAGCGAGCGCAGACGGUUAUUUAAGUCCGAAGUGAAAGCCCACAGCUUAACUGUGGAAGUGCUUUGGAAACUGGAUAACUUGAGUGCAGUAGAGGAGAGUGGAACUCCAUGUGUAGCGGUGAUGGCNUUAAAAUAAAA